rnacentral:rRNA from 1 species
CCUACGGGAGGCAGCAGUGAGGAAUAUUGCACAAUGGAGGCAACCCUGAUCCAGCGAUGCCGCGUGAAUGAAGACGUAUUUCUGUACUGAAAGCUGUAUUUGCACGAGAGAAAAUGACGAUACGUGACUCUGAAUCACAGUCUAACUCCGUGCCAGAACCCGCAGUAAUACGCAGGCAGCAAGCGUUAUCCGGAUUUACUGGGUGUAAAGUGGGCGUAGACGGUCGCGCAAGUCUGGAGUGAAAUCCCAUGGCUUAACCUCGGAACUGCUUUGGAAACUGUGCAGCUAGAGAGUAGUAGGGGUAGGCGGAAUGUAUGGUGUAGCGGUGAAAUGCGUAGAGAUCAGACGGAACACCGGUGGCGAAGGCAGCUUACUGGACUGCAACUGACGUUGAGGCUCGAAAGCGUGGGCAGCAAACAGGAUUAGAUACCCUUGUAGUC